rnacentral:rRNA from 1 species
GAUGAACGCUGGCGGCGUGCCUAAUACAUGCAAGUCGAGCGAAUGGAUUAAGAGCUUGCUCUUAUGAAGUUAGCGGCGGACGGGUGAGUAACACGUGGGUAACCUGCCCAUAAGACUGGGAUAACUCCGGGAAACCGGGGCUAAUAUCGGAUAACAUUUUGAACCGCAUGGUUCGAAAUUGAAAGGCGGCUUCGGCUGUCACUUAUGGAUGGACCCGCGUGGCAUUAGCUAGUUGGUGAGGUAACGGCUCACCAAGGCAACGAUGCGUAGCCGACCUGAGAGGGUGGUCGGCCACACUGGGACUGAGACACGGCCCAGACUCCUACGGGAGGCAGCAGUAGGGAAUCUUCCGCAAUGGACGAAAGUCUGACGGAGCAACGCCGCGUGAGUGAUGAAGGCUUUCGGGUCGUAAAACUCUGUUGUUAGGGAAGAACAAGUGCUAGUUGAAUAAGCUGACACCUUGACGGUACCUACCAGAAAGCCACGGCUAACUACGUGCCAGCCGCCGCGGUAA